CAGCUCUGUAAACUCUUCAUCUUGCACCUUGAUACCAAAGUAGUUCUUGUUUAAUACCACAUACAGUAGAGCUCUUUUGUAUUUUUGAAGACCAUGCCCAGCAGCGUUUUUUUAAAUGUCAAUAUAGUGGACAAACGUAUCGUAUGUACAAUAAUCUUAGGUCUUUAUGUUGCAUACAGGUAAUAUAUCCAUCGGAAAAAAAGACACUCCUGUUGGAUUCACUUGGAGAAACUGCUGCCAAGCUGAAAAAGGGCCAGGAUGUAACAAGAGCAUUCAUGAGGAAGAAAGGGAUAAAUGUGUCCAGAUGGAAAUGCGACACAGUGCCUCAUCCACACCAACCAGACAGCACCUCUUGUGGGGUUUUUGCCAUCAAAUUCAUGGAGAAAAUCUUGAACGGUGAAGAGCUACAAUUCCCUGUUGGCCAAAAAGAUGUGGCAGAGUUACGUCGGCAGAUUGCCACAACUCUUCUUCGGGAAUCUGAUAAUCUGACAAACCUCUGCUUCAACUGUGGAGAGGAAAAAGCAGAUGACAGUGGAGAGGCAGAGCUGACAUGGAUAUCCUGUGAUGCCUGUGGACGGUGGUUUCACCAUGCAUGCGUUGGAAGGCCAAAGACAGAGGACAAUUUUUUAUGUGCAGCAUGCUAAAGGAAAGGAAAGGAAGUUCAUGUAUAUAUAUAAAAUAAGACAUUUUCUAUUGACAGUUUAUUUUUCAUUUUUUAAAUUAUUUUGAUGUUUUUGUUGAUGCGUUAAAUAUUGCAAAUGUUGCCAUUUAAUUUUGUGUUGAUUGGAUUUGAAUAAUAACAGUUUGUUCUAAAAAGUUAGUUAUUAAAGUCUUUAAUACUUG